CGGGGUGAGUAAUGUCUGGGAAACUGCCUGAUGGAGGGGGAUAACUGCUGGAAACGGUAGCUAAUACCGCAUAACGUCGCAAGACCAAAGAGGGGGACCUUCGGGCCUCUUGCCAUCGGAUGUGCCCAGAUGGGAUUAGCUAGUAGGUGGGGUAACGGCUCACCUAGGCGACGAUCCCUAGCUGGUCUGAGAGGAUGACCAGCCACACUGGAACUGAGACACGGUUCAG
rnacentral:rRNA from 1 species